rnacentral:rRNA from 1 species
UGCCAUAUUUCCUUCGGGACAUCCGAGACAGGUGGUGCAUGGUUGUCGUCAGCUCGUGUCGUGAGAUGUUGGGUUAAGUCCCGCAACGAGCGCAACCCCUGCCUUCUGUAGCCAGCAUUCAGGAUGGGAACUCAGGAGGGACUGCCCGGGAGAACCGGGAGGAAGGCGGGGAUGACGUCAAAUCAUCAUGCCCCUUAUGGCCUGGGCUACACACGUGCUACAAUGGCGUAAACAAAGGGAAGCGAGCCUGCGAGGGUAAGCGAAUCCCAAAAAUAACGUCCCAGUUCGGAUUGCAGUCUGCAACUCGAGUGCAUGAAGCCGGAAUCGCUAGUAAUCGCGGAUCAGAAUGCCGCGGUGAAUACGUUCCCGGGUCUUGUACACACCGCCCGUCACACCAUGGGAGUCGGGAAUGCCCGAAGCCGGUGGCCCGAUCGAAAGAAGGGAGCCGUCGAAGGCAGGCCGGAUGACUGGGGUGAAGUCGUAACAAGGUAGCCGUAUCGGAAGGUGCGGUUGGA